AGAGGAAAAGGAGGAUGACUUGAGGAGGUAGCUGGUCUCUUCUCCCAAGGAACAAGUGACAGGACAAGAGGAAAUGGUGUCAAGCUGUGCCAGAGAAGGUUUAGAUGGAUAUUAGGAAGAAUUUCUUCACCAAAAGGGUGGUCAGGCAUUGGAACAGGCUGCCCAGGGAAG